ensembl:lncRNA
CUUUAUGCUUCCGCAGCGCCAGGAUCAGCCCUACAUCACACCCCUGUACUUUGCCUGGCUAACUGCUCGAAGACUCAAAGUCCCUGAUCCAGGAAGCCACCCGAAACCUCCUCUCACCCUCUGUCCGUCUAUGCUCCCCACAUACAGUACAAUGAUGCUACUGAGUGUAACGGUCAAGUAUCCAGUCUUCUGAGCCUACUUUGUUUGUGGGCUUUUCACGAAAUGGAACAAAGAGCAAAGUUCUAUCAAACUAAGAAUUUCUUGUUAGAGAACCAAGAAAUGGUUGAUAUUUUAUACUGAUGGGAAAUGGUGACUUCAAAAUAUGCCUAUCAAAAUGAAGGCAUCCCAUUGCAAAGUCAACAUAUUAUCCAUCUAAGACAGAGACUGCUAUACAGAAGUCACUGGGGAGAUGCCGGAGCAGACAGAAACAAGCCCCGGGCCCCCUGGCAUCCGGCGAGGGGCAGUGAGGGGACAGACAUGGCGGCCAAGCUCUGGAAACCACUUGGGAAGCCAUCCCACUGGCCAAUAGCGAGUACUGAGAACUCUUCACUUCCCAUUCUUUUCAGCUGACUUAAUGAACUGCCACUUCGAUCAUCAGUCCAAGCUGCACUUGAAACAUUCAAGAUAAGUUCAUUUUGGAAGGGGGCAGCAGGAGGGACCGUAGAUGUCAAGG